UACGUAGGGUGCAAGCGUUAAUCGGAAUUACUGGGCGUAAAGCGUACGCAGGCGGCUUUGCAAGACAGGUGUGAAAUCCCCGGGCCUAACCUGGGAACUGCAUUUGUGACUGCAUGGCUAGAGUUUGUCAGAGGGGGGUGGAAUUCCACGUGUAGCAGUGAAAUGCGUAGAUAUUCGGAAGAACACCAGUGGCGAAGGCGACUUACUGGACACAUAUUGACGCUGAGGUGCGAAAGCGUGGGGAGCAAACAGG
rnacentral:rRNA from 1 species